GGGAUCGCCGCGGCAGCGGACGGGGUAAUACGGAGGGCGCGGGGGUUGUCCGGAGUUACUGUGGUGAAAGGGCGGGUAGGCGGAUCAUUAAUGGGCUGGUGGAAUCCCGGGGCUAAACGCCGGGGGUGCCGGUCAGACUGGUGGGCUUGAGCACGGUAGAGGCGGAUGGAAUUCCCGGUGUAGCGGUGGAAUGCGUAGAGAGCGGGAAGAAUACCGGUGGCGAAGGCGUUCCGCUGGGCCGUUGCUGACGCUGAGGCGCGACAGCGUGGGGAGCAAACAGGAUUAGAUACCCCUGUAGUC
rnacentral:rRNA from 1 species